rnacentral:rRNA from 1 species
GCUCAACCGAGGAAGUGCUUCGAAAACUGGUAAACUUGAGUGCAGAAGAGGAAAGUGGAACUCCAUGUGUAGCGGUGGAAUGCGUAGAUAUAUGGAAGAACACCAGUGGCGAAGGCGGCUUUCUGGUCUGUAACUGACGCUGAGAUUCGAAAGCAUGGGUAGCAAACAGGAUUAGAUACCCUGGUAGUCCAUGCCGUAAACGAUGAGUGCUAAGUGUUGGAGGGUUUCCGCCCUUCAGUGCUGCAGCUAACGCAUUAAGCACUCCGCCUGGGGAGUACGACCGCAAGGUUGAAACUCAAAGGAAUUGACGGGGGCCCGCACAAGCGGUGGAGCAUGUGGUUUAAUUCGAAGCAACGCGAAGAACCUUACCAGGUCUUGACAUACCAUGAAAAGCUUAGAGAUAAGUCUUUCCCUUCGGGGACAUGGAUACAGGUGGUGCAUGGUUGUCGUCAGCUCGUGUCGUGAGAUGUUGGGUUAAGUCCCGCAACGAGCGCAACCCUUAUUAUCAGUUGCCAGCAUUCAGUUGGGCACUCUGGUGAGACUGCCGGUGACAAACCGGAGGAAGGUGGGGACGACGUCAAAUCAUCAUGCCCCUUAUGGCCUGGGCUACACACGUGCUACAAUGGUCGGUACAACG